GUGCUUGCCUCAGCAGCACACCUAUUAAAAUUGGAAUGAUACAGAGGAGAUUAGCAUGGCCCCUGCGCAAGGUUGACAUGCAAAUUUGUGAAGCAUUCCGUAUUAAA
rnacentral:snRNA from 1 species